rnacentral:ribozyme from 1 species
UUUUUAACUCCGCCGAUGUAAAUGCAUUAGCAGUGCAUUGCCGGUCCCAAGCCCGGAUAAAGGAGGAGGGAGAA